rnacentral:rRNA from 1 species
UACAGAGGGUGCAAGCGUUGUCCGGAUUUAUUGGGCGUAAAGAGCGUGUAGGCGGCCAAGCAGGUCAGCUGUGAAAACUCGAGGCUCAACCUCGAGACGUCGGUUGAAACCGCUUGGCUAGAGUCCGGAAGAGGAGAGUGGAAUUCCCGGUGUAGCGGUGAAAUGCGCAGAUAUCGGGAAGAACACCCGUGGCGAAGGCGGCUCUCUGGGACGGUACUGACGCUGAGACGCGAAAGCGUGGGGAGCGAACAGG